GAAAUCCUGGCCGCAUCCAAUCUCAAACAAACACAGGCUACACACAUCUCCCAGGACUAGUGAAAGAACAGAAAGAAUCAACAUGAGGAAUACAUUCAUUGGUUCACUCACUGGAGCAUGGAAAGCAAACAGACAUGGAUCACAGAAGCAAUCGUGCUGGGAAUUCAGAAAAUCCUUUCUCAUGAACAGGUCCC